rnacentral:rRNA from 1 species
AUGAUGGAUAGGCCAAGCGCGUCGUCGAACCCACUUUUCGAGGAGCAAGGUGAUGAUUCCGGAUAUGUCUCCAAGAACCACUUCUUCAUCGCGCAACGAGUGCUUCAUCAAGAAAAUGUCGCAUUGGGUGAACGCUUGGAACAACUCGCCUCCGACCUUCGUCAAAACAUCGAUGACAAAUUCAACACACAAAUGGAAGAGCUCCACAACAUGAUCGUUCGACGCCCGUCUACCUCAUCGGCUUCUUCAAGACGGUGCCACUCAAGUCACCAUACAAGUCGGCCAUCUUCGGACUACUCUUCUUAUCAUGCAAGUCCACCACGAGCUCUCCCUCCUUGA